GAUGAACGCUGGCGGCGUGCUUAACACAUGCAAGUCGAACGGAAAGGCCCAAGCUUGCUUGGGUACUCGAGUGGCGAACGGGUGAGUAACACGUGGGUGAUCUGCCCUGCACUUCGGGAUAAGCCUGGGAAACUGGGUCUAAUACCGGAUAGGACCACUUCUUGGAUGUUGUGGUGGACAGUUUUUUCGGUGUGGGAUGAGCUCGCGGCCUAUCAGCUUGUUGGUGGGGUAAUGGCCUACCAAGGCGUCGACGGGUAGCCGGCCUGAGAGGGUGUACGGCCACAUUGGGACUGAGAUACGGCCCAGACUCCUACGGGAGGCAGCAGUGGGGAAUAUUGCACAAUGGGCGCAAGCCUGAUGCAGCGACGCCGCGUGGGGGAUGACGGCCUUCGGGUUGUAAACUCCUUUCGCUAGGGACGAAGCGUUUUGUGACGGUACCUGGAGAAGAAGCACCGGCUAACUACGUG
rnacentral:rRNA from 1 species